GUGCUGUAGAAGUGAUGAGCUCUUCAUGUCUCUUCUCUGACUAAACUUCUGUGGAGAGAACUUUCACUCUGAUCUCAGCAU
rnacentral:snoRNA from 11 species